rnacentral:rRNA from 1 species
UACGUAGGGACCGAGCGUUGUCCGGAAUCAUUGGGCGUAAAGCGCGCGUAGGCGGCCCGGUAAGUCCGCUGUGAAAGUCGGGGGCUCAACCCUCGGAUGCCGGUGGAUACUGUCGGGCUUGAGUGCGGAAGAGGCGAGUGGAAUUCCUGGUGUAGCGGUGAAAUGCGCAGAUAUCAGGAGGAACACCAAUUGCGAAGGCAGCUCGCUGGGACGUUACUGACGCUGAUGCGCGAAAGCGUGGGGAGCAAACAGG